rnacentral:rRNA from 1 species
AGCGAACGCUGGCGGCGUGCUUAACACAUGCAAGUCGAGUGCGUAAUUUUCCCCGCCGCAAGGCGGGGGAAAUGGGCGCACGGCGCACGGGUGCGUAACACGUGGGCAAUCUGCCCUCUGAUUGGGAAUAACUCGCCGAAAGGCGUGCUAAUACCGAAUAAUAUCUUUUGGCCUUCGGGCUGGGAGAUCAAAGGCCGCAAGGUCGUCAGAGGAGGAGCCCGCGCCCGAUUAGCNGUUGGCGGGGUAACGGCCCACCAAGGCUUUGAUCGGUAGCCGGUCUGAGAGGACGACCGGCCACACUGGAACUGAGACACGGUCCAGGACUCCUACGGGAGGCAGCAGUGGGGAAUAUUGCGCAAUGGGCGAAAGCCUGACGCAGCGACGCCGCGUGGGGGAUGAAGCUUCUCGGA